GACGUAGGAGGCGAGCGUUGUCCGGAUUCAUUGGGCGUAAAGAGCGCGCAGGCGGCUUGGUAAGUCGGAUGUGAAAUCCCGAGGCUCAACCUCGGGUCUGCAUCCGAUACUGCCCGGCUAGAGGUAGGUAGGGGAGAUCGGAAUUCCUGGUGUAGCGGUGAAAUGCGUAGAGAUCAGGAAGAACACCGGUGGCGAAAGCGUUCUGCUAGACCUGUACUGACACUGAGGGACGAAAGCUAGGGGAGCGAAUGGG
rnacentral:rRNA from 1 species